rnacentral:rRNA from 1 species
AUGGGAAACCCUGUUGAUGCACCUAAACCCUAUCAAUGGAUAUGGAAAUCAUGCUCUUUACCAAAGCAGAAAUUCUUCUUCUGGCUCUUGUUACAAGACAGAUUAAACACUAGAGAUCUACUAAAAAGGAAGAAUUUCUACAUUGAGACUAGUAAGUGUGAGUUAUGUGAUGAUGAACCUAAUACAUUUAAUCAUCUGUUUUUUAGCUGUGAUUUCAGUCAAAACUUCUGGAUGAACAUUGGCUACCAAUGGAAUACUGAUCAUAACCUCAUAGAAAUGCUCCUGGAGGGAAGGAAGCAAGAUACACAUGGAUGCUUUAAAGAAUGUCUGAUUGCUGGAUGCUGGAGUCUAUGGAAACACAGAAAUAGCAUAAUUUUUGACAACAAGGUCAAAAAUAUGACAUUCUGUAUUGCCACUUUCAAGGAGCACUUUUGCAUGAUUAUAAAGAAGGCAAAACCAAGAUUGAAAGAGGGCAUGCAAAGCUGGCUAGAUCAUUUGUUGACUCAUCAAUGUCAUGAAUUAUAUCCAUCAUGUAAAUCCAUAUGUAACUGUCCCCCUAUUUUAAUGAAAAAGAGAAUCACAGUGGGGAUUUCCCCCACUGUUUUUGUCAAAAAAACUAGUUUAUUUAGUAAGUGGUUAAUAAAACUAGUUUAUUUAGUGUUAGGAUUAUAUAUAAGAUAUUUUGAAAUGUUUUUGUUCAUAUUUUCAACCAUUGAAAUGCAAUGA